rnacentral:lncRNA from 10 species
UGGGAUUGCAAGCUAGCUUCAACCAGGCACUUUCCUGUGGGGGAGGAGAAAUGCUGCUAAGGCUAUAUUAGUGUUCCUGAGCCUGCCUGGCAGCUGGCAUAAAUUCACUUACUGAAGAGAAACUCCCAGGCAAAAAAACAGAGAUGCCAGCAGUUGGAAGUCAGGCCAGUAUGCAUAAAAGUGUUCCACGUGGCUGGGGAGGCCUUACAAUCAUCGCAGAAGGCAAGGAAGAGCAAGUCACAUCUUAUGUGGAUGGCAGCAGGUCACUCAUUCUGGGAAAAGCCAGCUGCCAUGUCAUGAGGAUAUACCAAACAGUAUAUGGAGAGGCCAUAUGCAGAUUCAGUUGUGCUCAAGACUUCCAGCCAUCCUUCCUGAUAGCCAGUUCUACAGAUUUCAGACUGGCCUAGCCAGCUCCUAUACCUGCUCAAGACAAUUCUCUGCAAUAAAUCUCUUAAUAUA